rnacentral:rRNA from 1 species
AUUGAACGCUGGCGGCAGGCCUAACACAUGCAAGUCGAACGAGAGGCGGACGGGUGCGUAAUGUCUGGGAAACUGCCUGAUGGAGGGGGAUAACUACUGGAAACGGUAGCUAAUACCGCAUACCAUCGGAUGUGCCCAGAUGGGAUUAGCUAGUCGGUGGGGUAAAGGCUCACCUAGGGGACGAUCCCUAGCUUGGCUGAGAGGAUGACCCGCCACACUGGAACUGAGACACGGUCCAGACUCCUACGGGAGGCAGCAGUGGGGAAUAUUGCACAAUGGGCGAAAGUCUGAUGCAGCCAUGCCGCGUGUAUGAAGAAGGCCUUCGGUUUGUAAAGUACUUUUAGCGGGGAGGCGUGACCCGCAGAAGAAGCACCGGCUAACUCCGUGCCAGCAGCCGCGGUAAUUC